rnacentral:rRNA from 1 species
CCUACGGGUGGCAGCAGUGAGGAAUAUUGGUCAAUGGACGCGAGUCUGAACCAGCCAUGCCGCGUGCAGGAUGACUGCUCUAUGAGUUGUAAACUUCUUUUGUACAAGAAUAAACCCCGACACGUGUAUCUGUUUGAAAGUAUCUUACGAAUAAGGAUCGGCUAACUCCGUGCCAGCAGCCGCGGUAAUACGGAGGAUCCGAGCGUUCUCCGGAUUUAUUGGGUUUAAAGGGUGCGUAGGUGGUUUGAUAAGUUAGAGUUGAAAGUUCGGGGAUCAACCCCGAAACUGCCACUAAUACUGGUGGACUAGAGAACAGUUGAGGUAGGCGGAAUGUAUGGUGUAGCGGUGAAAUGCUUAGAGAUCAUACAGAACACCGAUUGCGAAGGCAGCUUACCAAA